rnacentral:rRNA from 1 species
GAUGAACGCUGGCGGUAUGCUUAACACAUGCAAGUCGAACGGUCUCUUCGGAGAUAGUGGCGGACGGGUGAGUAACGCGUGAGAAUCUGGCUCUAGGUCUGGGACAACCACUGGAAACGGUGGCUAAUACCGGGUGUGCCGAAAGGUGAAAGGUUAACUGCCUAGAGAUGAGCUCGCGUCUGAUUAGCUAGUUGGUAGGGUAAAAGCUUACCAAGGCGACGAUCAGUAGCUGGUCUGAGAGGACGAUCAGCCACACUGGGACUGAGACAC